GAUCAUGGCUCAGGAUGAACGCUAGCGGCAGGCCUAACACAUGCAAGUCGAGGGGUAGAGUAAGCUUGCUUACUUGAGACCGGCGCACGGGUGCGUAACGCGUAUGCAAUCUACCUUAUACAGGGGAAUAGCCCAGAGAAAUUUGGAUUAAUGCCCCAUAGUGUUAUUGAAUCGCAUGGUUUAAUAACUAAAGUUCCAACGGUAUAAGAUGAGCAUGCGUCCCAUUAGUUAGUUGGUAAGGUAACGGCUUACCAAGACAAUGAUGGGUAGGGGUCCUGAGAGGGAGAUCCCCCACACUGGUACUGAGACACGGACCAGACUCCUACGGGAGGCAGCAGUGAGGAAUAUUGGUCAAUGGGCGCAAGCCUGAACCAGCCAUGCCGCGUGCAGGAAGACGGUCCUAUGGAUUGUAAACUGCUUUUAUACAGGAAGAAACAACUCUACGUGUAGAGUCUUGACGGUACUGUAGGAAUAAGGAUCGGCUAACUCCGUG
rnacentral:rRNA from 1 species